rnacentral:rRNA from 1 species
UUAUCCUCAUAAGUUUGACAAUAAGAGAAACCAUAUAAAAUUUAGAUUAGCCAUAAUUUAAAAAAAUAAUAUGGUAUAAUAAAAUCGGAGGCCACGACUGUUUAUUAAAAACACAAUUCAGAGCAAUAAUUAAGAUAAUAGUAUUCUGAAUGAAAUUUGCUCAAUGCCAUUAAUAUAAAAGAGGUAAUUUUAAAGUUAUUAAUUGAAAAUCUGGUUAAUAGCGGUCUUAACUAUGAGGAUCCUAAGGUAGCAAAAUAAAUUGGCCAUUAAAUGUGGUCUUGUAUCAAUAAUGUAACGAUGGUCUCACUGUCUCUACAACUUGCUCAGUGAAAUUGAAUUGCGAGUGCAGAUGCUCGCUGUCUUCAGAGGGACGGGAAGACCCUAU